rnacentral:rRNA from 1 species
AAUCAACGCUGGCGGCGUGCCUAACACAUGCAAGUCGAACGCGAAAAGGGGGCAACCCUGGGUAGAGUGGCGUCCGGGUGAGUAACACGUGGAUAAUCUACCUGCGGGUGGGGAAUAACUUUCCGAAAGGGGAGCUAAUACCGCAUAACACUAAGUGGUGGCAUCACCAAAUAGUCAAAGUGGGGGAUCGCAAGACCUCACGCCUGUAGAGGAGUCCGCGGCCGAUUAGCUAGUUGGUGAGGAACAGCUCACCAAGGCGACUAUCGGUAGCCGGCCUGAGAGGGGCGAACGGCCACACUGGCACUGAAAACGGGCCAGACUCCUACGGGAGGCAGCAGUGGGGAAUUUUGGGGCAAUGGCCGAAAGGCUGACCCAGCAACGCCGCGUGAAGGAUG